CAAAAAUAUACUUUGACUAAUACAUGGGAUCAGAAGGCAUUGGGUCUAAGUUGAGCGCGUUGUUGCUUUAGUUAAGCUAGUAACCAGCUUGCUAACUUUGUGUCUUUUAGGGAUAAAAGUCACAUAAACCAUACUGCAUCAGCCACAAAUGCAAAGUUAUUAAUGACAAGGCCCUCAUAAUCUCACAUGGCAUUCUCUUUUCUGUUGACAAUGAAUCAUGCUUAUCAAUUGCUACAAGUCAAAAACAAAUUAACACACAACCUACAUCAAAUGUUUAAAUAUGGUAACAUUAUUAAAUGGAUGGGCAAAAGCACAAGUAAUCAAGUAUUGACCCGAAUAACCCAUACGCUUAUCAUUGAUUAAAAACAACAAAUCAAAUGUAGUAGAACCUGCAUAAUAAAUGUUCAUAAGUGCCUAGUAAGCAAGGUGAGUCAUUUAAUUCUUACCUUUCUACCAAACAGCUGUGUCUUUCCUAAACCUCAUUUCAUAGAACAUUGGGAUGUCUGUGUGUCCAUCAGUACCUGGUCAGCAAGACAGGUCAUUUAAAAUUUAGAACCUUUCUACCAAAUGGUUGUCUAUCUUAUACUUCAUUUCAUUUCAUAAUAUCACACGUACCUGGUGAGCAAGACAAGCCCUGAUUCAAUACAUUACAUAAAGUGAGAAUCGUCUACAUCAACUAUCGUAAUUUUACAGAUCUUUCACCUGCAAUGAAAUAUUCAAUAAAUUACACCUGAAUUAAGAACCUUUAACAAUUGAUGCAAACAUUAUAUUUCUGACCGACCAGGAGUGCUCAACUGCAGAAGAUAAAUAGAUUUAUUGAACAUAUUUUAGUACAUCUAAACAAGUGUUCUAAGUGACACAUAACAAAAAAACAAAAGGAAUCCAAUGGACACUAAAGUUGUUGAACUGCUGGAAACCCUUGGCAUUUUUCCAUACUACAACAACUCUCUGAAUAGAAUGCACAAGCUAUUAAAAUGCAUCUUUUUUUUUCAAAUGUACAAAGGUGAUUGAAUUAUGGCAGGUUCUAUUUGGAAGUACCACCCAGAUUUGGGACCUGGUCCGGGGGCAAAUAAGGUGGAAACUUUUCUUGCAGGUUGGCCAUAACUGGGAAGUGAUGAACUAAGUAAUGCUAUUGGGGCAAUGGCACCUUAUGCUAUCCUAUGGAUGAUAUGGACUAUACGGAAUGAGUGAAUAUUCAGCAAUGCAAGUUUCGAGAGCAGAGAAGCCGCAAGAAGAAUUAGAGCAACAGUUUGGGGAUGGCUCGAAGUGGACAAGGUGAAACUGCAGCACAAAACAUGCCACAGUUUCAGGGAAAUAGGCCAGGGGUGGGAACAUCUAUUCUCUGGUGCAGGACAACACUGGCAGACACAGUAACUACUCUUGGACUGUAAAGUUUUAGGCAACCAUGUUUUAAGUCUGGUUGGUAUGUGCUUUUGUAUUGUAGGUUCUCUUCUGUGUAACCUGACGGGGAUUCACCUAUUGAUCAGGGUUGUAAAGUUUGAAUGUUACUCAAUAAAAUUCUAUUUCAUACCAAAAAAAAAAAAAAAAAAUCCUUGAUAAAGCUAUGCUUAAGGACACCUUGAUUACUCCAAUUAGAUCCAUCACAGUAAUGAUGGCAUACAAAGACUUACAGUUGCUUCAAUUGUUAUAUACUAUCACAUUACAAAAUCAAUUGGCUUAAUAAAAACGACCAUAAUUAACAAACUAAGGAAUUAUGGUUUCAUCUACGACUUGCAAAAAUGUAAGCAUAACUUCCAAAAUUUUAAGUUGCUUUAAUUCUAAAGUAGGAAAAGAAAUUGAAGAAAAUUCCAAAUUAUCAAAGAUAGAAAACAUUACCUGAAAAGUACACCAAAAAACACUAUCUAGCACAAAGAAGAAAACCCUACUUGAUUUUAAAUCGGAAUCAAUUGAACAACCAAAUCCAAUUAUGAACUAUUUUAUACGAAGAGCGCAAGAGCAAGGGGGGAAGAACAAAAAGCAUUCAAGAGAAAUAAAAUACAAACAAUUUGAGAGAUGGUGAAAGCGUUGAUAGGAGAAGAAAGCUCAUUCUCGGUUGGAGUCUUGGAGAAGGAGAAGACAGAGCUUGGGAGGAAGUUAUUUUCCAUCCACGCCUUGUUUUCCAUGACGUGAUUAAAUUUGAUCUGGUGAAUAUAAUCAGUAACACAUACAGACUGUUACUAUGAUUUUUCUUUACCAUUAGAAAAUAAUUCAGAAUAUUAUUUAUUUAAGACUAAGAGCAUUCCC
rnacentral:lncRNA from 1 species